rnacentral:rRNA from 1 species
GCUACCGAUACUUAGCGGCGGACGGGUGAGUAAUGCUUAGGAAUCUGCCUAUUAGUGGGGGACAACAUUUCGAAAGGAAUGCUAAUACCGCAUACGUCCUACGGGAGAAAGCAGGGGAUCUUCGGACCUUGCGCUAAUAGAUGAGCCUAAGUCGGAUUAGCUAGUUGGUGGGGUAAAGGCCUACCAAGGCGACGAUCUGUAGCGGGUCUGAGAGGAUGAUCCGCCACACUGGGACUGAGACACGGCCCAGACUCCUACGGGAGGCAGCAGUGGGGAAUAUUGGACAAUGGGCGCAAGCCUGAUCCAGCCAUGCCGCGUGUGUGAAGAAGGCCUUAUGGUUGUAAAGCACUUUAAGCGAGGAGGAGGCUACUUUAGAUAAUACCUAGAGAUAGUGGACGUUACUCGCAGAAUAAGCACCGGCUAACUCUGUGCCAGCAGCCGCGGUAAUACAGAGGGUGCAAGCGUUAAUCGGAUUUACUGGGCGUAAAGCGCGCGUAGGCGGCUAAUUAAGUCAAAUGUGAAAUCCCCGAGCUUAACUUGGGAAUUGCAUUCGAUACUGGUUAGCUAGAGUGUGGGAGAGGAUGGUAGAAUUCCAGGUGUAGCGGUGAAAUGCGUAGAGAUCUGGAGGAAUACCGAUGGCGAAGGCAGCCAUCUGGCCUAACACUGACGCUGAGGUGCGAAAGCAUGGGGAGCAACAGGAUUAGAUACCCUGGUAGUCCAUGCCGUAAACGAUGUCUACUAGCCGUUGGGGCCUUUGAGGCUUUAGUGGCGCAGCUAACGCGAUAAGUAGACCGCCCUGGGGAGUACGGUCGCAAGACU